AGGAUUAUAGUUAAUAAUAACAUUUGAUUUGCAUUCAAAAAGUGCUGAAUAACAGCUUGUCUUA
rnacentral:tRNA from 1 species